rnacentral:rRNA from 1 species
UACGUAGGGUGCAAGCGUUGUCCGGAAUUAUUGGGCGUAAAGAGCUCGUAGGCGGUCUGUCGCGUCGGCUGUGAAAACCUGGGGCUCAACUCCGGGCUUGCAGCCGAUACGGGCAGACUAGAAUUCGGUAGGGGAGACUGGAAUUCCUGGUGUAGCGGUGAAAUGCGCAGAUAUCAGGAGGAACACCGGUGGCGAAGGCGGGUCUCUGGGCCGAUACUGACGCUGAGGAGCGAAAGCGUGGGGAGCGAACAGG